rnacentral:lncRNA from 1 species
UCGUCGACCGCUACCCAAUAAGAUAUAUUGGCCUGGGCACUUUCACAAACCGAUAUAUAUAGAUCACGAACCCCAGGCCCCCCACAUUACUGCUUUGGGCUUGGAAUCAUUCCAUCGAAAGACUUAAGUGCUCCCUAUCGAUAAUAACUAGACGGUAAUGCAGAUAGACAUGCACUCAAUUUCAUCGGGCCUAGAGUUUGAAAUUACAUACACCAGUAUGGACUUAGAUUUCAAACAAACACACUGAAUAUGCUUCAGUCUAUCCCGUAUCUCGUUAUUCCAAAUUCGACAAACCGAAUGCUUCUUCUAGUAACCAUAAUUGAAUCCGAAAUAGCAGUCAGAGCACUGGGGGGCGGCGAGUUGGAGGAUCCUUUCUAAGAAUAGUCAUUAAGAGUGCUCGAGAGAAAAGAAUGACAUUAAACGCAUCUUCAACCCCUCCAGCACCCUACUUCCCGAAGAAUAGAUAUCCAUUCGUCUUGCUCUAUUGCAAGUGAUACAUAGCGAGCCUUUUUGCUCGUGUACCAUUCGCUCAUAGUACCAGU